UGGCUCAGAACGAACGCUGGCGGCAUGCUUUACACAUGCAAGUCGAACGGUAACAGGCCUUCGGGCGCUGACGAGUGGCGAACGGGUGAGUAAUGCAUCGGAACGUGCCCAGUCGUGGGGGAUAACGCAGCGAAAGCUGUGCUAAUACCGCAUACGAUCUGCGGAUGAAAGCGGGGGACCUUCGGGCCUCGCGCGAUUGGAGCGGCCGAUGUCAGAUUAGGUAGUUGGUGGGGUAAAGGCCUACCAGGCAGACGAUCUGUAGCUGGUCUGAGAGGACGACCAGCCACACU
rnacentral:rRNA from 1 species